rnacentral:rRNA from 1 species
UACGGGGGGGGUAAGCGUUGUUCGGAAUUACUGGGCGUAAAGGGCUCGUAGGCGGCCAACUAAGUCGGACGUGAAAUCCCUCAGCUUAGCUGGGGAACUGCGUCCGAUACUGGAUGGCUUGGAUUUGGGAGAGGGAUGCGGAAUUCCAGGUGUAGCGGUGAAAUGCGUAGAUAUCUGGAGGAACACCGGUGGCGAAGGCGGCAUCCUGGACCAAUAUUGACGCUGAGGAGCGAAAGCCAGGGGAGCAAACGGG